rnacentral:rRNA from 1 species
UACGUAGGGUCCGAGCGUUGUCCGGAAUUAUUGGGCGUAAAGGGCUCGUAGGCGGUUCGUCACGUCGGGAGUGAAAACUCGGAGCUUAACUCCGAGCCUGCUUCCGAUACGGGCAGACUAGAGGUAGGCAGGGGAGAGCGGAACUCCUGGUGUAGCGGUGGAAUGCGCAGAUAUCAGGAGGAACACCGGUGGCGAAGGCGGGUCUCUGGGCCACUACUGACGCUGAGGAGCGAAAGCGUGGGGAGCGAACAGG